rnacentral:antisense_RNA from 1 species
AGGUAGCCCUUCACGUUGUACAGAAAACAAUGGAGACUUCUCCUCCUGGGGCAGACAGAGUCUGGCUGGAGUGCAAUGACACGAUCUCAGCUCACUGCAAUCUCUGCCUCCUGGGUUCAAGUGAUUCUCCUGCCUCAGCCUCCCGAGUAGCUGGGACUACGGCCUCAACCUGGAGAAAAAAGUCUUCAUCCCGUGGAGCACCAUCCACCUCUUCUCCACCUGGACAGGCUGCUGGCUGCCGGAUCUUCUUCGGUUUGGUGGGGCUGCUCACUUUGGGGCCCUCAGGACAGGACACAGGAGCAGGCAGGGCUGUUGAGAGCUCUUCAGCCAGUUCCUGAAGAUACAGAAGUGCCCUGUGGGAACAGACAGAGCCAUUCUCACAUAUAACCGAGAACUCACAUUUCCAGACAUGGUUGAUUUUUAUCUCAAUGGAGCCUCCCAAUAACCCCAUGAUUAACCAAUUAACUCUAUUAAUUUCCCCUUCCCCCUUGGAAAAUGAAAAACCAGAAAUCUAAGUUAUGUGACUUGGCCGAGAUGACUGAGAUAACAAAUGUGGAAUCUGAACCCAGGUCUUCUCACUCCAAGUUCAAUACAUUUUUCAUCCUACCACAGUCAAAGAACACAGAGGGCAAGAGAAAGAAUGGAACAGCAUAUAUAUAUAUAUAUAGACAUAUACUGGACAGUAAAACAAUAAAGAGCUGGGUAAAGUUUGUGAAAAA